GUCAAGCUACGAAGGGCGCACGGUGAAUGCCUAGGCAUUGAGAGGCGACGAAGGACGUGGACAGCUGCGAAAAGCCUCGGGGAGCUGCUAACAAGCGUUGAUCCGGGGAUUUCCGAAUCGGAAAACCGACUGAGCUAAUCCUCAGUGACCACCCGCUGAACACAUAGGCGGGUUGGUGGCCAACCCAGGGAACUGAAACAUCUAAGUA
rnacentral:rRNA from 1 species